AUGCCCUCCCUAGGAUGUACUAUGUACUGUUUCUGGUCUCUCCUUUCCUUACAUGGUUCUGUUCUUCACCAUGUCUCCUUUCCCCAAACUGUCUUUUUUUGUACUUGCUUCUUCUUUCACACUUUUCUGUUAUUGACACUUAGUCAUAUUAAUCUAUGUUUUUUCUUCCCUUGGCAUGUUCCUACUCUUUCUAGUGAGUUAAGUUGCUCUGUUUCUACCCUUGGCACUCCUGGACAAUGGCAAGAUAGAGCCCAGAGCAUGCCAGCCUCUGAUGCUGCAGAUACCCAGGAGAACCCUUAUCAGGCUGUCACAGAGCUACAUGAAUUGGAUGGGACCCCUGGCAAAAAACCCACCUUACUACUGAGACCAUGCACAAACCUGGCAGGGAUGAGGACAGCACAAGGCUCCAAGCACAAGUGGGAUGACCUCCAGCAGUGAGAUGUUGCCAGCCAAAAGACUUUAUCUCAGCUUCUCUGGGCUGCGGAGGCCUCACCAUCCUGCAUCCCCAGUGCUCCCAGUCUGAUUUCUUUGACCUGCAGAGGCACAGGCUGGAUUUCCCAGCUCCAAGGUCCCACCAUACUGACAUUCCAUGCUCACUGGGAGCAGCCUCCUGCCAGAGGGUAUUGCUUAGCAAUAUCAAACUGUUGAGGGCAUGGGCUGAGAAAUUAAUGCUUUGUAGAACAAAUUACUUAAGAAAGAAAGAAUGAAAGGAUGCAGAAGGUUACUGUGAGCAGCCCUGUGCUUCUCAGCCAUCUGACCCCAGACCCCAGCUUGUGCUGGUGCCUGGGGUUGUUCCUCCCCUAGGACAGGAGGUGGCAUCACCUCUGCCCAGGCAGGUUGCAGCCUGCUUACCUUAUUUGGAUCUGAAAGACAGAAAUUUAUGUGGUCACUGCAGCAAGAACCAAAGAAGCUUUCCCAGGCAGGAGGCAAGAGAGUGGUGCACUGGUGCAGGGAGCAGCGUGGCAUCGAUGCCAAGGUGCAUGCAGACUCACAGCUGUGCUGGAAACAUGCUGGAUGGGUUAAUUUUUCCUUCUGUUGGGCAGGAGCAAACCCUGUUCUCAGCUUAGCUGCCACUGCUGCCUGCAUCCCACGCUCUGCUGGGCUUGCGGGGGGUUUCUUGUCCCCUCCUCUCACCCCCGCCAGGUUUGCUUCUUUAGCUGAGCCGUUCCGGGGGCCGGCUGGUAUUUCAGUCACUGAAGAAAUUAGUAACUGAUUUAUGUAACAUCUCGUGUGACUGACUGCAGGGUCUUCACAGAGAGACAACUGCAAACAAAUGUGCUAUCAGCAGAAUAAGAAAAAGGAGCCCAGAACAUACCCCACAGUGAACAGUGGAAUCGCACUGCAAGGCCAGAUGGCACUUUGCUGCCGUGCAGUGGCACCUGUACCUGUGUGCCAUGGCCAUGUCCUGUUUCACUGCAGCUCAGCUCUGCAGGAGAGGCCCAGCAGCCAUGUUACCAUGUUCUUUACAGGGCUGACCAGAGCUGGUUCUCACCUUGAAAAGGAGUUUCUGGUCUCCUCUGUUUCUCCAGAUGUCAGGCAUGUCCCAGCAUCACAGCACUGAGCACUGAGGUACUGUGUCUCCCAGGACAUGCUCAGGCUGGUGUCACCCACCAGCAACACCUCUCCUGCUGCCCCUGCCCAGCUGCAUCAGUGCCCAGCAGACACAGGAGCUGCAGCUCAGCAGGUGCUGGAUGCUGUUGGCUCUCGCUCCUCCUCCUGGCUCCUUGCUGAGACUUUGGUGUCUGUCUCUCAUCUCUGGUCAUCAAUGCUUAUGGUCAGGCAGAAGGGAUAGUCACCCCACACAUACAUGGGGAAACCUGGGCAGACCAAUUCUGGAACAUCAGAUUCUGCAUCUCUCCCUGACUCUCCUGGGGCUGAAGCUUCCAGCUUGGAUGGUCCAGGGGUUAUUCUGAGUGUGCCCAUGUCCCCAGGCCACUGAUGGCAGAGCUGAUCCCUCUGCAGGAAUGGAAACCCCACUGGUUCAGCAGCGGUGGGCAGGAAGGCUGAGCAACAUGCCAGCAUUCCUCUCAGCAGCUGUGGUUCAGUAGCAAAGGAAAUAACAAAGAAAUGCUUGCAAAAUAAAAAUGCUUUUGAUGUGAAUAGAAAUGUUUAU
ensembl:lncRNA